AAGCUAAAGAGAAAAAUGGAAAACAGACCCUUAUACCAAAAAACGAGCUGCUCUAUCUUCUUCACAAGCUAACCAUCGGAUCCUAAUCUUCAGCAGCUAACGACGACCCCCUCCCUAUCAUUCUUCUUUCUUUUUCUUUAAUCCAUAUUCGUGCACGCCCUUGAAGAUCUGGUUGAAGAAGUCACAAGAAAGAAGCGAAAAUUCCAAAAUCGGAUUUGAAAAGCUAAACAAGUUGAAUUUCUUAAAAAUCUGGAUUUCUAGUUGUCUCUCAGAGUCAAAAUCACCGUUGUUCAUUGUUGAAGCUGUUGUAUCUGCGUAGCUGAACUCUCUCCGAUUUUCUUGACCUUUAUUUGGGUUCAUUUCCUUCUUCUUGUGAUAAAUUCAAGAAACAUAAUGAAGUACGACAUUAAGUUAUAUUUUAAGAGGAGUAGACAACCUUUUGCCAGUAUAUGAAAAGAAGAAGCAUUUGCAAAAUCUGAGCCUCCUUCGUAUCAUGAGGAACUUUUAAAAUUAUGUUUAAAUGUAAUGAAUGCAUAUGUUUGGAUUUGUUUGGCCACACUUGUAAAAUUGUUAUGAUUUACAUUGAUUUAUAUAUGUAAUAAGCUCACUCGAACUUGGAACGUUAUUUCACUCUCAUUAGUCUAUUGAUUUGUCCAUGGUCUGAUGAAUGCAUAAUUGUUAACAUGU